rnacentral:ncRNA from 2 species
UCCAGCGAAACCACAGCC